ACACUCACCUGGCUGAGGAGAUACAGAGGCUUUCCUAGGAUGAAGCUCACCUAUUGCACUGCAGCUAUGCUGACCUCAGCAAUUUCCCCAAAUGUGUGGAACUCGAUUUGCAAUGGAUUUACCAGGGAAUUUGAAGCAAGCCCUGG
rnacentral:snRNA from 1 species